UGAAGAGGUAUUGAAACAAGGAUUUGUUUUUAAUUAAAAGCAAUCUUUCUGGCUUUUUUGGCUGCAAAAUCAGUAAUACUGUCAUCGUAUGACAACAAUGAAUUGAUGUCUGAUUUGAUUGCAAGAAUAGCAAGACCAGUGAAGCGUUCCUGACUCAUUGUAGAGUGGAGAUAGUUCUU